GAUAAGCACAGUGAGGAGGAAGAGGAGGAGGAAGGACACACACAAGAGAGAGAAAAACAACAACUUGGCAGCACUCUAGCUAAAACCUGCAGCAGGCUGGAGAACUGGUUCAUGGGUGCUGCUAUGCCAAAAUCACAGAGGUUGCAGAACAAGACGAGGACUCCAAGCUGCAGUCCAACACGGAGGAGAUGGAGUGUGUCUGUGGGAGGAGAGACGCACUCGAGAGCCAGCUGGAAGCCUCAGGACUCGAGACCUCAGCUCAGAUGUGAACAGACAACAUCUGGUUUCCUCUACGCUACCUCCUCAGAGACUCGUAAGCCUGCAAACUGCUGCUGCUGCUGCUGUCGGCUGUUUUUCACAAACAAAGCAUGGAGGACGAGCAGCUUUAGCAGAAACCCGAGCUCCAGCAGAAACUCAGUUAGAGGAGGAGCAUGUACAGAGGCUCUGAUUGGCUUGCAUUAUCUCACAUCUGGAGAACAUCCCAGCACCUCUGACUGCAUCCCCACACCAGGAGGAGACACGAGGAGAAAGGAAACACCUUAUUAGAGAUCUUUAGAUCACAGCUGGAUGACACUGAGAUUUAAUGUGAGCCCAAACUACGAAGUUCAAAAGUAACCGAACACCUGGCUGCAGCUGUAUGUCAUAUCUCCUAAACGCUGUUUGGACUCCAAUCAGAUGAACUCAAGAACACACAAAACUCCCCCAUAAAUCAAGCCCACUCUGGUGAUUAAACUGGAGCCAUCUGCAACCCCACAGAUUCAUGAAACCUAACGUGGAAGCAGCUCAUGGUGUUCUUCCACCUCAUCUAUUUAAAAAGUAACAACAAUUACUCUCGUUUUGGUUAUUUCAAUCUUAACUGUCAAUCUUUCAUGUGAUAUUGAAAAAAGUUGUUUCCAGCUGGCUAAAAAAUAAA